GUCUAUGGCCAUGCCACCUUGAACGUGCCCAAUCUCGUCUGAUCUCGGAAGCUAAGCAGGGUUAGGCCUGGUUAGUACUUGGAUGGGAGACCACCUAGGAAGACCAGGUGCUGUAAGCA
rnacentral:rRNA from 1 species